rnacentral:lncRNA from 1 species
UGUAAAUAUGCCACACAUGUCCAUCAUUUUCCAUUAUUUUUCAUGGCAUUGUAUGGCAUUCAGUGACAUCUGAUGGAAAAUAUGAUGGACAAUACUGGCAUUUGAUGGGAAACUGCUGGCUUUUCCUUACAUUGCCACUGUUUACCACCAAAUGACAACACAAGUUCCACCAAAUGCCACAGAACUGUAGUAGAAAUCAGUGGAAAAUUGAACUUUGCCAUUUUUAUGAGUGUAAACCAGUGUAAAACACUUAGAAUUUUUCUCUAAUUCUGAGACUGGAAAUUUCUGUGUUGAAAUCGUUUGUGUAGUGAUAAAGCUGAAACAUUAAAUUUAAGUAAAGACUUGUCAUAUUGAGUUCCUCUUGCAAAACAUAACUAUUUUAAUCAUAAGGCGUAAAAAAAAUGUUUGUUUCCGGUAUCCCGACCUACCCUAAAUUUUUGGCCUGACCCUAAAUAUUUUUAUGGCCUUAUUUCUUCAACUUUUUGACAAAAAGUUGCAAAACUGCACUUUUCACACUUUAAACAUGGUCAGUGAUGUUAGAAAUCAACUUACUGAUGCUUUAAAGGUAUAACCCCCCUAUUUGCACUCAUUUAUUUUCCGAAAAGUCUCCCUUAAUAAAAAAAAAUUCCCCCCAAAAAAAUUUCCGACCUACCUUUCCUAAUUUUUUCCAUGUUACCGGAAACAAAGAUUCUUUUUGGCCUAAUCAUAGUUUUUGCUUAUUAAUUAUAAUGAAGGUGAACUGUUGUUUGAGUCACUCUUAAGCAUGUAGUUUAUUGUUUAAAUUUGCUGUUUUUAUUGUGUAACAAUCCUCAAUUGAAAUAAAUAUCAAACUUACAGAUAGAUAAUAUUGUUUCAUCAUUGUAUCUUACUCUAGUUACUGAGAAUCUAUUUGUUGACUGGCACUAUUUAUUAUUGGGGCUGUUCUCUCACAGCAUGACCUUGAUACCUGUACAUUGUAUACAAAUACAGUGUACACACACUGCAGAGAUAAAGGGUUAACUCUGGAAUGCUGCUGUGUUAUAAAUAGAACUCUCAACCAAUGAAAAUAAAGAUAUGUAGUGGAGCCAAAACACACAAAGUAAUCCCAACAGUCCUGUUUUAUUUCAAAGGCCUUUUAAAUAUUUAAAAAUAGACAAUGAAAGAUAUUCUCUUUUUAGUAGAUUAGUAUUUGUUAAAACAUUCUAGUGGAGUUUCCUUCAACAAUAGAUAGCAAAAUAGAAAUCUGCUCAAGAAUAUCAAAAGUUUAAAAGUAAACAGGAACUUCUUUGUUGGAGAUAUUCCUUUACACAUGCAGCUGGAAUUUAAACAGUUUAUGUUGCUAAAAUAACUUUUAAAUGGACACUGGAUAAAGUAUAAGAUGUGUAUAUGCAGUACCUGACAUAUGCCAAAACACACAUGGAUAAAAUGUAUGAGGCAUGAGACAUUUUUAGGCUUCAGUGAUUUACACUUUGUAGAAUGAAUGGUGCUCACAGAGAAAGCCUAUUGAUGUGUAAACUUUUUGAUGGUAUACAUCUCAAGGACUUGAUGGCAAAUAGUGGAAAACAGUGGCAUUCUCCAAGCUGGUUAGUUGAGAAUGGUGGAGAAAUAUCCAUGGCAAAUAGUGGCAUUUAGAGAAAAACAGUGGCAUAUUUUACACUGAUUGCCACAACAGUUAUGGUGGCAAACAGUGGAAACUUUUAGUGGCAAAUGGUGAAAUACGUUCCAAUACUCCACUGAUAGUGGCAUUCAAUGGAAAACAAUGGCAGUUUUUACAGCAAUAUGUGACAGUGGCAAACAGUGAAAAACUUUAAUGGCAAAUAGUGAAAAAUGUUCCAAUACUCCACUGAUACUGGCAUUUAAUGGAAAAUGGUGGAAAAUUUUGACUGGCCUUUCCAACCUCUAUUUUUUCAAUGUUUUCCAUCAGUUUCCACUCAAAGAGGCUUGUUCCAAUACUCCAGUGUUUUCCAAUGAUUUUUCAGUGGAAAAUGGUGGCAAAUUUACA